AGCUCCAAUAGCGUAUAUUAAAGUUGUUGCGGUAAAAAAGCUCGUAGUUGGAUUUCUGUUGGACGCUGUCGGUCCGCUCUAUGGGCGUGUAUCAGAUUAGUGUCUGGCAUCCUCGCAGGGAUGGUUUUUGCGCUUAAUUGCGUGAAGCUAGUCUUGCGACUUUUACUUUGAGGAAAGUAGAGCGUUCACGGCAGGCAAUUUGCUUUGAAUAUGUUAGCAUGGAAUAAUAAUAUAGGACCUUGGUUCUAUUUUGUUGGUUUCUAGAGCUAAGGUAAUGAUUAAUAGGGAUAAUUGGGGGGAUUUGUAUCAGGGCGUCAGAGGUGGAAUUCUUGGAUUGCCCUGCGACAAACUACUGCGAAAGCAUUUCUCAAGGAUGUUUUCU
rnacentral:rRNA from 1 species